CCUACGGGAGGCAGCAGUGGGGAAUAUUGCACAAUGGAGGAAACUCUGAUGCAGCGACGCCGCGUGAAUGAUGAAGGCCUUCGGGUCGUAAAAUUCUGUCCUUGGGGAAGAUAAUGACGGUACCCUAGGAGGAAGCCCCGGCUAACUACGUGCCAGCAGCCGCGGUAAUA
rnacentral:rRNA from 1 species